GAAAAAUCUAAAACCUCAUUAUAUCAACAAAAAAGAAUCUGUAAAAUUUAGAAAGUUCAUUGCUAUGUACAAGAAUCCAAGUUAUGCAGGCAUGUGUACCCUGAGCAACCACCUUAGUUGCAAGGGGUAUUUUUUAUCCGUUGAGUUGAGCUUUCUUCGAUCACUCAACCACAACACCGACCACUCAACUGAGAAGUUCUUUCAUUUUUAGUAUUGUCAGUCCUUCACUCUAGCUGAAAAUCACCAAUCAAUUUACAAAUUCCAUCACGGUGAUCAUAUGGGGCUCGCCCUUGAGACCUGAUUUUGCACACUUGCAGCAGCUGUCCAUCGCUGAGGCUGUACUGUCGCUGAACUGUCAUUUAUAAAAGCUAUUGUCCUCGACUCCUGUUGACUGAAAGUGACAAGUGGAGGUGGUAGUUCUCUCAUCACCCAUAGCACAAAUGCUGAAGGUAUAGAAGAACCUAUAAAAUAAUACAAAACCAUGAGAAGAG
rnacentral:misc_RNA from 1 species